rnacentral:rRNA from 1 species
AUUGAACGCUGGCGGCAGGCCUAACACAUGCAAGUCGAGCGGAUGAAGGGAGCUUGCUCCUGGAUUCAGCGGCGGACGGGUGAGUAAUGCCUAGGAAUCUGCCUGGUAGUGGGGGAUAACGUCCGGAAACGGGCGCUAAUACCGCAUACGUCCUGAGGGAGACAGUGGGGGAUCUUCGGACCUCACGCUAUCAGAUGAGCCUAGGUCGGAUUAGCUAGUUGGUGGGGUAAAGGCCUACCAAGGCGACGAUCCGUAACUGGUCUGAGAGGAUGAUCAGUCACACUGGAACUGAGACACGGUCCAGGCUCCUACGGGAGGCAGCAGUGGGGAAUAUUGGACGAUGGGCGAAAGCCUGAUCCAGCCAUGCCGCGUGUGUGAAGAAGGUCUUCGGAUUGUAAAGCACUUUAAGUUGGGAGGAAGGGCAGUAAGUUAAUACCUUGCUGUUUUGACGUUACCAACAGAAUAAGCACCGGCUAACUUCGUG